rnacentral:rRNA from 1 species
UACGGAGGGGGCUAGCGUUGUUCGGAAUUACUGGGCGUAAAGCGCACGUAGGCGGCUUUGUAAGUUAGAGGUGAAAGCCCGGGGCUCAACUCCAGAACUGCCUUUAAGACUGCAUCGCUCGAAUCCAGGAGAGGUGAGUGGAAUUCCGUGUGUAGAGGUGAAAUUCGUAGAUAUUCGGAAGAACACCAGUGGCGAAGGCGGCUCACUGGACUGGUACUGACGCUGAGGUGCGAAAGCGUGGGGAGCAAACAGG